rnacentral:rRNA from 1 species
UACGAAGGGGGCUAGCGUUGCUCGGAAUUACUGGGCGUAAAGGGCGCGUAGGCGGACAUUUAAGUUAGAGGUGAAAGCCCAGGGCUCAACCCUGGAAUAGCCUUUAAUACUGGAUGUCUUGAGUUCGGGAGAGGUGAGUGGAACUCCGAGUGUAGAGGUGAAAUUCGUAGAUAUUCGGAAGAACACCAGUGGCGAAGGCGACUCACUGGCCCGAUACUGACGCUGAGGCGCGAAAGCGUGGGGAGCAAACAGG